GAAAAUCUGACCCAUUGCUGGAUUUCUGCACCAGACAGGAUAAUCUGGCACGCUCUAAGAUGACACUGCUGCUCCACCUCGUCCUCUUCCCCUCCCCACCUUCCAUUCCAAGUCAGGGUGCAGAGUGAGCACAAAUGAGAGACACUUUGAAAAAUAAGCUGCUCAUUUGGGACUGAGUGGAUUCAGAUGGUUGGCCAGCGCUCAAAGGCGCAGAGAAAAGGGGCGGUUGGGUCAGCUUAUUAUUUCAGUGGAUACAAGGCGCUGAUGUUUUCCCUCAUAUGGCAUUUUCUCAAUCAAAAGGAUUCAGCAAUUAGAAGGCAAGCCCAGAUCUAUAGAUCCCUCUCCAUUUUCUCAGUCUUAGGCAUAACAUGGAGAACGACUGAGAAAUUACUUAUAUUUAGUUUAAAUGCAAUUCUGUGUCAGCAUUAGCAGCAGAAACAAAUUAUUUUUAGAUCAUUUUUACAGAUUCUGAGCUCACAUUUUUAUUCCUACUGUGCUUUGACUGACAGGUCAACAACAAUCAGACUGUCGGUUUUCUGUUUUGGUUGAUAAUUUUAUUUUCAGCUGUCUGAAGUUUUGCCAGUUGGUGUGUUUGCUAAAGUGACUUAACAGUCAUUCAUUCAUUGGGAAAAAGCAAAGUAUUUAAAACUUUUGCCUUUUCUGACAGAAUUUCUUCCAAAUCUAUGUGUGAUUUCUGGUGUAUUAACAAAGGAGAAACUAUUGUUCAGCAAUCUGUUCUCUAUAGAAGAAUUAUACUGAAAUUAUCUUGUCUUUUGCAUUGAAUUAAAAAUCAUUUAUCUAGAUAAAGUUGAUCUGCACAGCUACAUCCAAUGGUCAGAAUUGUGAUGCUUUUCAUUUUUUUUUUUUAAGAGUAAUUUGGCAGGGAGUGUCUAAAUGGUUGAAAUAUGUCUAUAUAAAAUAGCACAAAUUAUGAAAAUUAACAGUACAAGAUAGAAAACAAAAACAAUGCACAAGCUAUUUUAUGAGUGUACAGAAACGCUUGGAGUAGCCUCAGACUCAGUGUGUGUAGCAAAGAGAACACAGUUACCUCAAGGCCUCAGGCCACAAGUUAACGUGUCAGUGGCCUGCAUCUGUGCAUGCCGUGACAGGCUGUGGAUUCAUCCCAAACACAAAUGCAAAGCUAAAAAUCUCAAUUUCACUUUGCAGAGAGUCUGAAAGUAGAGCAUGCAAACAACUUUACUGUAUUUUGUUGUACAAUACACAGGAGAGGUUUUGAAGAGCAUAUGUGAACAUAUUUCAUUAGUUGUGUUGUGAAACUGCAUGUGUAGGUCUGAAUGCUGCUGCCUCUCAGAUCCGGACCGAUGAUGGGCUGAAGGGUCAGUCCAGGUCUAAAAGCAUCAGUGCUUAUAUCAAUAUGUGCUGAAUGGGAAUGAUUAACAUCCAGAGAAACGAAAGACAAAAGCCAGAUCUUUAGAUUUUGAUAUUUACACUAUCUUUUGAACUACAAAGUUGAGCUUAGUCAUCUUGUAAAAUUAUAACAAAAGUUUUGGUCUUUCACUUGUUCAGACUAUUUCUACAAGCAGAAUGAAUGUAAGUGAAACCGUGUAGAACCGCUGCGGUUUCUUUUGAACAAGUUAGGAUACGUUUUGUUUGUCCUGUAAAGAGAUGUAGGUUUUAAAAUGUUAACUGAGGCCUGUAGAGUUAGAGAUGGCGCUCUUGGGGGCGGGGGUGUCCAUACCUGGGUGGUAUGUAAUUUCUCUAAAUUCAACAAUUUAAUUCAAUUAAUUUAUUUAGCACCAACAAAUGUCAUUUCAUGCUACUUUACAAGAAAAGCUGGUCUAUUUCACAUCCCCUUUUAAACUAAUAGGUAAUUAAAAUAAAGCAAUGCCAUGCCGUAGUUCAAAGAAAAAAACAACAUGAGAAGUAAGGUAUCAAAGCUAACAUUUUAUGUUAUUUUGUUCUCUAUCACUUGCCUUUCAUCCCUUUCUCUUUCCAUUACUCUCUCCUCUCUUUCCCUUCAGCUAUCCCCAGCAUAUACAAACAGGUCCUACCACAAUAGUGAAGCGUGCGUACAUGAUUAAAUGGUGCUCUGGGACCAGGAGAAAUAACUGUGGUCGGUGGUUUGGCCAGAGGCCGGGGUUUGAGGCAAGAGGACAGCCGAUUGCUUUUAAUCACUGAAAGAGGAGGUAGAUAAUGGCUACCAUACACCAACGCUGCUGACUUUGUUUUUCCUCCAUUAGUCCACUAGAACAACUUCUCCAUCAGCACCAGCAGCAAGCUCUGCUUUUCCUUUUUCUUCUUUGUCAAUAUCUGAGAUGGCAAAACCAAUCUUAAACCUGUGAGAUAGGAUGUUCAUUUUUCAGAAGAACUGAAAAAUGAACGAACGCCACAAACUGCUGUCUGCUUUCACCCCAACUAUUCUCUAGUAAAUUAUUAAUGAAAGAAUGACGCCGGUUAAUUUUAAAUUAGAAUGAAUGGAACGUGGAAAUUCUAACCGAUUCCCUGAAUGUGCUGCGAACCUCUUGAAACUUUUUUCAAACUUCCCAGAGGAAAAAAAAAAAAAGAAAGAAAAAUGUGGAUCAGACCAAACAGGAAAUUUAACACUCUUGUAUUUUGUUGUAAUUUCCACUAAAGCAGGCUUGGCUCUGUCUGCAUGCCUCUGAUGUUAAAGCACAAACCACUGAGUCUGGUGUAGGUUACAGUCAUUGGGGGAUUUGUUUUAACAGCGCUUCUCUAGUCUUUUUAUUAACCACAUCAGGGUCUCACCAAACACCCAAAACAGGAGUUACAAGUCUUAACUUCCACCCGAGUACAUCAGCUAACAGGUGUGUCGAGUGGACCACAAAGGGUUUCAUCUGUGCUCUCUGUCUUUUAUUGUAUAUUCCUUUUUUUUAUUUAUUUUUUCCAGACUAAACAGCACCGAUGCUCUGUUCUCAUCUGGGAGAAAUAAACUGGUCCUCUUACCGAAUGUGAUUUAUUUUCAGCAGUUUAAGAGAAUGUGAGUCAAGGAUUGAGAAAGGAUGAAACGGCGAUGAAGUGUUGAAUCACUCCACGUUAGAAGGGAUGAAAAUAUACGACGGGAGUGAUUUAAACACAGAAGGGAGUUUGCACAGUGGGAGGUUCACUUUCCACUUGGGCCCGCCUGGCUGGAGGCCCUCGCUCCGGGACAGCCGGAUUGCUUUCCUGGCACCGCUGUCCUCAGCGCUGGCUGCCAGGCCGGCACUGGCAGAACCCUAAAAGCUGGGGCCCUGAUGCAUCUCUUACAGUUUACAGGAAUGUGUCAGCAGUAAUCUCUUGGCGGCCAUCUUUGGAAAUUCAGCCCGACGCAGACAUGAAAGCGCUGUGAUGCUCUGAGGAGAAAAGAGCCAGCUCUAAUUGAAUCUAUUUAAAGCAGCUGUUUUCGCGGCUCUGUGACUCGGCUGCGGCCUCAAAUCCUCCCUACUGACUUCAUCGGCCGUGCUGGGUGUCGAUUUAUUGGAAAAAUCAUCUUUUUUAAGUAAACAGAGGUGGCCAAGACCAGGCUUUAAUCAUGCUCCGAGAGCUGCCCAGAGAGGUCGUUUGGUUUCAAUUAGGUGAGCGUAACUUGGCUAAUCUCUCCCUCAUCCCUCAGUCUUUUCACAGCCGCUGCCAGCCAGCAUUGCCAGUGUAGUGCGUGAAAUCGAAUUUGAACACUGACCCUCUGGAAAACGGGAACUCAUGAAACGGAGGGCGUAAUGGUAGCUUUAAAGAGGGGGGCGUCAUGCUUUCAGCAUUGGCUGCUGGGGAUGCGUGCACGGAACAACAUGCUCCGGCUUUACCGCAUGGUUAGCUGUAAUCCACCUCUGUACAGGCGCCAAGCUCUGCCUCUUUAUACAGAUGACUACGGUGUUGUGGAGAACAUGAGAAGGUCCCUGGACUCUGCAUGAGGGGUUUUCCUCUGAACUCCAAAGCUUGAAAUUGUCCUGUUUUCCAUCUUUUGUAAAGGGUUUGUGAAAUGUAAAGAGAAAAAGUUUUCAAUUCGUUAUUCCCUCCCACCACCCCUGACUUGGAAAGCCUUUGAAGCAGUUGUUACCUCAGAACCUCAUCAAAUCCUCACCUAUGAUUUGGACCUGCCUCACGGCACAACACUGGAGUCGCAAGCCCCGUUGUUUCCAGGUCAUGUGUUUCUUGUGGAGCCGAGGGUCAAUCGAUCGUUUUGAUUCAUGUCGGCUGCCAAUCCCAGAUCAGAGGUGGCCCGUGGCAUUACCAAAGGUUGUGGCUGGAACUCAUCCCAGUUUUGUUUCAUGUCAAGGUUUUUGCCAUUUCAAGUCAAACCAAAAGUUGCCCAUUGGAUUUUUUUUAUUAUGUCCCAUCAAAAAAAAAAAAAAAAAAAAAAAAAAAGCACGGUCUGGUCUCAACAGACUGUUGUGAUAUCAUUUAAAACAGAAAUUCGGGGAUUUUUUCUGAACUUUUUUUUCUUCAGGUACCUAAUAACCAAAUAAAUAAAACUAUAUUCUUUUUCUUUGUCAACGUAGAUGACCUGUCUCAGUUCUACGUUUACAGAAGACCAUAUAGAUAAAUGAUAGAUUUAAGUCUUUCUUUUUUUAUUCUAUUGCAUUUCCAUUGUUCUUCCACAUGAACUUCCCUGCUGGCUUCUGUCUGCAGUAACAUCUCAAUUCAUCUCUCAGCUCCAAACCUCCUUUACCACCACAAACCAAAUUUCCAAAUUGCUGCAGAUGAAGCUUUAAUGCAUCUAUCGUCUCUCCUGCUCCAUGCUGUCAUCAAGACAUCAAUAUAAUUCAACUGCCUUCUGUUUUAA